CUACGGGAGGCAGCAGUGGGGAAUAUUUGACAAUGGGGGAAACCCUGAUCCAGCAAUGCCGCGUGUGUGAAGAAGGCCUGCGGGUUGUAAAGCACUUUCGGUUGGGAGGACUGCUUCUAGCACUAAUAUUGUUGGAAGUUGACGUUACCUUCAGAAGAAGCACCGGCUAACUCCGUGCCAGCAGCCGCGGUAAUACGGAGGGUGCAAGCGUUAAUCGGAAUUACUGGGCGUAAAGCGCGCGUAGGCGGCUAGAUCAGUCGGGUGUGAAAGCCCCGGGCUUAACCUGGGAACUGCAUCCGAUACUGUCUAGCUUGAGUAUAGGAGAGGAGAGUGGAAUUCCACAUGUAGCGGUGAAAUGCGUAGAUAUGUGGAGGAACACCAAUGGCGAAGGCAGCUCUCUGGCCUGAUACUGACGCUGAGGUGCGAAAGCGUGGGGAGCAAACAAGAUUAGAUACCCGAGUAGUC
rnacentral:rRNA from 1 species